GAUGAACGCUGGCGGCGUGCCUAAUACAUGCAAGUCGAGCGAACAGACGAGGAGCUUGCUCCUCUGACGUUAGCGGCGGACGGGUGAGUAACACGUGGAUAACCUACCUAUAAGACUGGGAUAACUUCGGGAAACGGGCGCUAAUACCGGAUAAUAUAUUGAACCGCAUGGUUCAAUAGUGAAAGACGGUUUUGCUGUCACUUAUAGCUGGAUCCGCGCCGUUUUAGCUAGUUGGUAAGGUCACGGCUUACCAAGGCAACGAUGCGUAGCCGACCUGAGAGGGUGAUCGGCCACACUGGGAGGGGGACACGGUACAGAGUCCUACGGGAGGCAGCAGUAGGGAAUCGUCCGCAAUGGGCGAAAGCCUGGCAGAGCAGCGCGGCGUGAGUGAUGAAGGUCUUCGGAGCGUAAAACUCUCUUAUUAGGGAAGAACAAAUGUGUAAGUAACUAUGCACGUCUUGACGGUACCUAAUAAGAAAGCCACGGCUAACUACGUG
rnacentral:rRNA from 1 species